rnacentral:snoRNA from 11 species
GGGCGAUGAUUAUAAAGAGAGAGGAUUGAGUGGGGAGUAUGAACAAACUCUCAUGGGAUUGGAGAAAAAAACUCAAAUCGAAAUCGAAGGAGAAAAUAGUUUUUUUUUCCCUUUUUCGAUUUUGGGCACUUUUUUCUUCAUCCCUAACCCUCGAUGAAGGUCCUUCCAAUUCGUACACUUGAUAUGAGCCCU